AUGCUAUGGCAAGAAGACCUGAGAAAAUCACUCUCAGCUGUUGGCAGCAAUUUAUUUCCAAUGAAUCAGCUUAAAUGUUCCCUCUCGUUGCACAACUUUGUGCCUCUUCCUCUCAAAGACAGGUGCAGGAUACAAAAGACUGCUCCAGUGCAUAUAUUCAAACAAUUAUGGAACAUUUAAACAGAAAGGGACCAUAGGGAUCAUUCUAGAUCCAUCUCUCUUUGUCUGUUUUGGAAAAUGAAAGCUCCAAGAAGAGAUGUGAUUUGCCCAACAUUAAAUCAUGUCUAAAUUCCAUGAUCAUCCACUGUAAAGGUCCUUCAAUCUCUGAAAGUGAUCUACCCAAGAAAAUAAGGGUAGGUCUAGAAGAUAUUGUCAAGGUGUAGGAAUACAAAUGCAUUGUGGGAAGAUGGCAGAGUAGGGUGUGGAGCUUCCUCACCCUACUAAAAGCCUCCAUAAAUAACCACAAAUAACUCUACAGAAUUAAUAGCAAAAGUGGCAAAAAUAGCCAAGAAUCUGGAGUGAAACUGAAUAGAAAACUAGGGAGAAAUGCUUUUGACUUCCCUAGCCUCAGGCCCACCAGUGUAAGCCUUGGGGACAGGAAUAGAGCAAACAGAGUGAAAUCAACAAGGUAGUCCCUGGGGGAAGUAUUAGCAAACUCACUUUGUUGCUGAGACCUGAAGCUUGUAUCCCAGAAGAUAGCACUGAACUUUCUAGGCAAAGGACCUGAGAGCACCUGUCUAUUGUGCCUUUGGAUCUGGAGACCUCUGCUGACCCACAACUGGGGACUGAGGCAGGAGCAGACACCACAGAGUCUAUCACUGCCAACAAACGAGGGGCACGGAGGUUCAAGGAACAUGGAUUUGAUGCCUGCUCUAUCUUAGGCUAGAACUGUAAGAGAGUAGAAGUGAGGCAGGAGCACACACUGGUGAGUAUGGUUGCUAAGGGACUGGGUCCAUCUACUGUGGUCCUUCCCAGAAGAGGGGAGUACUUGGAUGCUGCCAGAGGGGAAGGAGAACUGUCUAUUUACAGUUACAGUAGCAGAAUGGCCUAUGGGCUCUAAUUGGAGCACAUGAGGUUAAUCACAGACUGGGAUUUGAGCAGAGGAUCAGGAGUACUUCUGAUCAUGUACUAUAAAAACUGUAAUAACUAAAUAGGACCCAGAAUAAAACAAAUACACACAAAAAAUCCUGAAACCUG
rnacentral:lncRNA from 1 species